rnacentral:rRNA from 1 species
CAGCCGCCGCGGUAAUACGUAGGUGGCAAGCGUUGUCCGGAUUUAUUGGGCGUAAAGCGAGCGCAGGCGGUCAAUUAAGUCUGAUGUGAAAGCCCCCGGCUCAACCGGGGAGGGUCAUUGGAAACUGGUUGACUUGAGUGCAGAAGAGGAGAGUGGAAUUCCAUGUGUAGCGGUGAAAUGCGUAGAUAUAUGGAGGAACACCAGUGGCGAAGGCGACUCUCUGGUCUGUAACUGACGCUGAGGCUCGAAAGCGUGGGUAGCAAACAGGAUUAGAUACCCGCGUAGUCCCUGUCUCUUAUAC